UACCAGCACCCCGAGUGGUCGGGACGUUUAUUGGGCCUAAAGCGUCCGUAGCCGGUUCUACAAGUCUGCCGUUAAAUCCAACUGCUUAACAGGUGGGCUGCGGAAGAUACUAUAGAGCUAGGAGGCGGGAGAGGCAAGCGGUACUCGAUGGGUAGGGGUAAAAUCCGUUGAUCCAUUGAAGACCACCAGUGGCGAAGGCGGCUUGCCAGAACGCGCUCGACGGUGAGGGAUGAAAGCUGGGGGAGCAAACCGG
rnacentral:rRNA from 1 species